GACAAACGCUGGCGGCGUGCAUAAAACAUGCAAGUCGAACGGACCAAAGCCCGCAAGGGCUGAGGUGAGUGGCGAACGGCUGAGUAACACGUAGGUGACCUGCCCCGAAGUGGGGGACAACUCGUCGAAAGACGAGCUAAUACCGCAUGUGAUCACUGAUUCAUUUCAGUGCUCAAAGUCGCAAGACGCUUUGGGAGGGGCCUGCGGCCGAUUAGCUAGUUGGUGGGGUAAUGGCCUACCAAGGCCGCGAUCGGUAGUUGGUCUGAGAGG
rnacentral:rRNA from 1 species